CGCACGCACACACGCACACACACACUCGUGCACACAGUGUAGUGUCUUUCCUUUUAAAUUGCAAGGAAACAUGACAAUUUUCCGGAAAACCACUCUCUAUUUAUUCACAAACAACAAUCAAAUGAAAAGAAAAAGAUUACUAAAACUGAAAUAAAACACCAACACUGGGGAACACAAUUUUUGUUGAGUUAGGUCUGACAGCUGUUUUAACAAAUUUUUGGGUGCGGAAUCCAAAACUGAUCUCAGUUUUUCUCUAUCACGUCCAGUUUAGUC